rnacentral:lncRNA from 1 species
UGUUACCGCUGUAUGUGCGCAUCCUGAGCUGCCCAUAGUAAUUACCUGUUCAGAGGACGAGACUCUUCGUAUGUGGGAUGCAAAUGGCUUCAGGUAUGCAUUGUGGGAGUUUGUAUGGUUGUAGCAUGCUCUAGAUUGCAGCUUCAAUUACAGCAGAGUUGAAUGAAAAUGCCACCUAUCUCCUUUGCAGAUUUUCCAAAAUUUACGAUAGGAUAGGACCAUUUAUUUACCUGGACUCUUUGUUGUUUUGCGAAUGACUCCGCCAUUAUGUCACAUACAGGAUUAAGCACGUAGUGAAAUUCGGUCAUGGAAGGAUUUGGGAUAUUGCAUAUCAGAAAGGAUCGCACCGGUAACAUUCAUACCUGCUCUAAAUGCUUCAUUUCCUAACUAUAUCCAUGCAUUGACAAUGAUAAGCUAUUCUGAUAGUCCGAGGUUUUCCAUUGCCACUAUAAAGAGAUACAUGUAGGCUCUGCGGUUUCAGUACAAAGAUGAAGUCUUCCAUAUCCAUUGUCUCACUUUUCUGUGGCUUUCGCUCUGCAGGGUUGCGGUCGCCUGCGAUGAGGGAAUAGCCGUGGUCGAGAUUGUGUGCUGAUAGUGUGGCGCCUUAUGCUAUUUCCCAUAAAACAGAUGCUGACCUCUACAAGUAUUACUUUCUAUUUGAAGUUCAAAUAAGAGUGCAUACCGGUCUUCUGUCAAAGGAAGAAAGUGUCGCUUUGUAUUAGUUUACGUGUAUACUCUUUGCGUCCUGCCAGUGGCAGGAUUUUCCAGCGUAAUCCAAAGAUCUCAUACAUUCCUUUUGCGGUGUGUCCUAGUGAAAGUUCGUUUAACGACCUGAGGUCUAAUGUGCUAUUUAUGUGAUAAAUCUCUCUCGAAGAUGACUAAAAUUGCCCGAAAAAAGAAAAAAAAGAAAAAAAAUGGCAGAUUUGGAACAUGAAGCCGACGAACCUGGAGUCUAUAACAACAGGGUGAUCUACAUCCUAUUUCCUAACACAAAUUUCAACAGAUCUGUUGCACAUGGGAUGUGAAAGUUGGUUCACAUCAUGCUAAUAUUAUUGAAAAAGAAGAUUCAUUUUGCUUGCCAACGAAAGCACGGAUGGGAUUAGGAUUGCGUCAGGAGCAACUCAAGGGUUGCUCCGCAUAUGUUUGAGGCCCUUUAGCCAGAUUAAUACUGAGAUGAAAGCCUUUUCACAAACUUCGUCACCUGUCAAAAGAUUAAAGUGGAAUGCCGUGCUAUUGCAACAUUUUGACUUGUUGAGGUGUAAUACUAACCUUCACAACGUGAUGUGAAUUCAUCCAAGCUGCCUUCUUUGCCAUAAAAUCUUCUUCAGGAACCAAUGUCGAACUCUCGUGGUUGUUUUGUGUCCCAUAACCAGUCCGAUGACCAGUCCGAUUCCACGACCUGUCGACACAAUUUUCCAGUCUAGUUCUUCGAUCCAGAUCCUGGAGUACCAUGCUCAGUUCUGACCAAACACUAAUUUUGGCGUGCCUUUUAAAUGGAAACUAAAAAAAUUUACAACAAACAAGGCCUCGUAGUGCCGAUUCGUCCAAAACAUGGAGGCCAUGACUCAUUACCUUGCUUGAUCGAGAUUGAAGAAAUGAGGGGAAGGAAACUUCUACAUAAUGGUUUAUCAGAAAUGAAUGAAGCUGAGAACCUUAUUUUGGCUGACAGGAGAAAUUAUAUUCAUAGCUAUCAAAAGAGCACAUAUAUAGUUUGCUCGAUCAAACAAGAGAUACUUUAUUCGAAAUCUCAUAUGUAGAUGGUAGAUAAUUGGAUGCUAUUGCGAAGCACAUAACACACCGAAAAUGUAUGCUACAAUGCGCCUAGCAAUAAGCAAUCCAAUCAUUGAACUUUCACAAUAGAUAGUAAAUCACACAAACCUUAUUUGAUGCAUCCGUCUUCCUCGCCUUCCUCUAUAGAACCUUAGGAACCAUUGCUCAAUUCUAGAAGUCGUGGUCAGCCCCAUAACCACGCCGAUGACCAGCCCGCUUCCAAAACCUAUCAAGACAAUUUUCCAGUCAAGUUCUUCGAACCACGUCCCCGCGUCCUCUUCAGCGAAUGCACUAGAUGGCGGUGCCAAGGGCGAAUCAAUAGGAUUUCCGCAUUUCUUUGUUAGAGGACCUCCGCACAGUCCGAAGUUCCCUCCAAAAGAGUUAUUCUCGAAUGUAGUGAACUGGUUCGCUUGAGGUAUGGGCCCAGAAAGAUGGUUGUCCGACACAUUGAAGAAAGCAAGGAAAAUGAGGUGGGUUAAUGCUGGAGGAAUCACUCCCGAGAGCUUAUUGCUUGACAGGUCGAGAGAUUCUAGUUGGAUCAAAUUCGCUAGGGACGAAGGGAUGGGGCCAGUAAGAUUAUUGUUGGAGAUAUUGAGUAGACGAAGUUCAGUUAAACUUCCAACAGAAUUCGGGAUUUCCCCAAUAAAGUUGUUGCUCAAAAGAUCAAUUACAUUCAGGUAUCCCAAUAUUUUUGCGUACUCCAUUGCAAUGCCUUUGUUGAUUAUUGUCAUUGAGUAGUGAUACUUUACCUCAGGAUCAUCUCUCGUAAGCUUCUCCCCAUCAAAGUGGAAUGGGUGCAAAGUGGGCUCAGAAUAUCCAUAGUAGUAUCCAUCAUAUGAAUCGUGGACUUUCAUGGCACUCCAAAUAUUGAAGUAUUCAUAUGGAAGGCUACUUGAGAAGUUGUUCAUGGAUAGAUCAACAAUUCGUAGUUUGAGAAACUGGUCACCAACUUCAGGCUCCCCUAUGGCUCCAUGAAAUCUAUUGGCUCGCAAAAUGAGCACCUUCAAAUCAAAAAGCAAUCCCAUCCAUGAAGGAAAGGUAUCGACGAUCUGAUUAUUUCCGAAAUUGAGAAAUUCCAGUUGACUACAAUUAGCUAAUCCCCUAGGUAGUGACCCUUGUAGUUGGUUAUCACUCACAUCUAUCAUCUCAAACGCACAUAUAUCAUUUUGCCAUAGAGGAAAUCUUCCAUAUAAAUCAUUCCCAUGCAAACUCAAGACGGAAAGGGUGUCACUCAAAUUGCUCAAACAUGGCGGAAUAACACCAGUGAACUUGUUCUUGGACAAAUCAAGUAUGUCAAUAUUGCUUAGCUGGCACAUCUCUGGUAAUAUUUCUCCAUAUAGUUUGUUAUUUGAGAGAAGAUAGACACUAAUGGCCUUUUGGGGACUAGGAAGAAAACCUUGUAUAUCAUUGUACCUGAGGUCCAAUGUCAUAAGAUUUGGCCAUUUGAAAGCUGGGAAACUGGUAAUUAAGUUUCUUGAAAGAUUCAAAAAAUUUAAAUGUGCCAUACUUACAUUUAAGAACCAGAGAGGUGUCGGCCCAUAAAUACUAUUUUGGGAUAGGUCCAACCAUUGCAACCUACUUUGGUUACACAUGAACAUGGGGAGCUUACUCAAGUUGUUAGAAGCCAAGCCAAGAGCGGACAGAUUUGGAAGGCUAGUGUUCAUGUCGGGUUCAAUAAUAGAUGAGAAUUCAUUGAAUGAGAGUAGCAAUGUCGUUAGAUGUUGAAGUCUAAGUACCACAUCCAGUCGCAAAGUGCCAUUCAAGUUGUUUGAUUGCAAGUACAGGCUAGUAAGAUUCUCAAGGUUAGAGAUGUCUUCAGGAAUUGGACCAGUUAAUCUGUUAAAGGAUAGGUUGAGAUAAGUUAAUCGGGUGAGGCAAGUGAUCUCAAUUGGAAUUUCUCCAGAGAGUUGAUUCAUGCUAAGAUCCAAAGAGGAGAGUUGGACGAGCUUCCCAAUAGAAGAUGGGAUUUCACCCGAGAGUUUGUUUGAUUGGAAACUCAACCUAGUAAGUUGAGUUAGUUUACCUAUUGAAGAUGGAAUGUUCCCUGAUAAAUUGGACCUACUGAUGUCAAACUUGCUAAGGAAAGUCAAGUUUCCCAGUGAAGCUGGUAGUGGACCAGAAAAAUUGGUCUCACAAAGAGACAAUGACUUAAUGGGACUGUGUAAGGGAAACUCUGGCAAAUUACCUGACAGCUCGGAAUUGAGACACAAAUUAAGAAGUUGUAGCCUCGGCAGCUCAAAGAUGGCUGUUGGGAUUGUCCCUUGCAAGUUGCAACCUUUGAGUACAAUCGACGUCAAGGAAGAUAAAUUUGCGAUAGCUUCAAGAAAUGGAACCGACACAUUCAACCAGCUAAGAUCAAGGUGUUCCAACUUGGUCAACCUUUGAACCAUGGUAUCCAUGUCGAGAUUCCUCAGCUCCAAUCCAUCGUUCCAUGAGAGAAUGAGGGAGGACAAGUUAGUCAAAUUUAGGAGUUGUGACGGAAUUUGACCUCCGAAAUUGGAAAAAUAGAGGUUCAGGCUUGUCAACUCCACAAGAUCACCUAUUGCAGAUGGUAUUUGAGAGUUUGUGAAGUUGUUGUAGGCAAGGUUGAGACUUUUCAAGUGUGUGAGGUGGAAGAGGCUGGUGUUCGAGUUGAUAGGACCGAAAAGACAACUUUUGAAGAGGUCGAGGCUAGUCACGUAGCCUGUCCGUUCAUCACACUCCACGCCUUCCCAAUAACAGCAAUCCCCGUCUUCCAGCCUCCACGAUACUAGCUUCAACGUGUUGGCCCCAAGCCAGCAAAGAAACAACUCUGGAUGGAAGAAAGAUUGCUUGAAUUCCAUCAAGGCAGACCGCUCUUGCUCAUGGCACUUCGUUGGCCUCGUUGAAGGCAAUGUCUUGGAGGAAGCAAAGUGGAGGGGAGUUAUUGCAAGGAAAGCCACCAAGAGGCCAAAUGGCAUUGGUUUCAUGAUGAUUAAAUUGUGCAACACUCUACUUGGGCUUUGUUUUUGCUGGUUAGGCGAGGGGAUGAUGGACAAGUACUGAAAUUGCGUCGUUGUUAUAUAAUUUGCUUAUCCCUCGUGGUCGUGGGUCAUAGCCGUCGUACUUGAAUUUUGGGGUGCAUUCCCACUUAUACAUGAAUUGAAAAUAUAUAUUAUUUUAGUCUUCCACUUUAAAUCAACUUCAUGUAAUAGUGAGUCUAGCCUGCGUUGAUAACACGGAACCACUGGUCUCGUGGUCCUUGUUCUAGUGAAGGCACUGAAGUCUUAUCCGACUUCACAUUAUUAUAUGACGUUUUUGUUACUUCAUGAGUUUUUGAAUUUAUUUGUUAUUGGAGUGUUUCAACCAAGUGAAGUUGAUGGAAUUCCGCAUUCCAUACGUCUCGCCUCGCGUCUAGCUUGCUAGACUUCGUUUUUAUUGAUUUGAUCUCGCAAAUGCUAGCCUCGGGAUUACUGUUUUGUUUGCUUUUUCUUCUUUUGGGCCGAGAAACUGAAGGAGAUGGAUUUGAACUUUGAAAUAGGCAGCUGUAAUGACUUUAAACAUUGGCUUUUAAUUUUCGAACCUCCUUGAGAUGUGGUAUGUGAAGAAAGGCCGAGGUUUUGGGCUUGUUGUAUUCAAUAGAUUAUAUUCUAUUUAAUUGCUGGAAUUAAGUUAGAUUUUUUUUUCUUAUGAAGUAAAUGGAGUUCGCUAAUCCUUUGAUUUGUAUAGUUUUAGUUGACAAUGAGCUGAAGAAGAAGGAUUGCUUGUGUAUUCUAUUUUCCGGGUUUUGAUUCGCGACUGAUUAUUGUUUUGUUUGUUAAUUUGUUCAACAGCCGCUUAGAUUGGAAGUUAAGGUUCGUUUCUGGUUACCGGCGAAUUUACAUUGUCUUUUCAACAUGCGAUUUCAGAGCGAUUGCUUCAAUUUACCUGUAUCCGUGCCAGAGCAAAUUUGCUCUGAAGUCCAUAGACCUGCAUCCAACAGAGCCAUGGUCGGCAUGACUCGUUUCAACUUUCAUGUAAAAUAUAACAACGCAUAUUUGCUUAACUCUAAUUGCUGUUGAUGCAGGAUCCUAUCAAGUUUGUAUGCAGGAAUUGUUUGUAUAUGGGAUUACCCGUCGCAGGUAUGAUCUAUAAAUCUUGAUUGAGCAUGUCCUUCAAAAAAAGUCUUCAUCGAACCGUCCCAAAUGUCUCAAUUGUCAUUCAUUGCCGGAUGGUUCAAACCCUUCCCACACACACUAGGUUUGGCCCAACACGCACGGAGAAGAACUCCUUGGACUAAUUCUGGUGCCUUUGUACAGCAUUUCCAAGUCAACUCAAUAGUGAUGUAACCUACUCUAGUAUCUCAAUAGAAUAUGGGGAAAAGUGUUAGAAAAGUCUUAAACCUAUUGCAUUAGUGCCAAUUUAAUUCUAAACCUUUUGACGGUGCCAGUUUGUUCCUAAAGCUUUUGACUUUGUGCCACUUAUCAUUCAUUGCCGAAUGGUUCAAACCCUUCCCACACACACUAGGUUUGGCCCAACACGCACGGAGAAGAACUCCUUGGACUAAUUCGGGCGCCUUUGUACAGCAUUUCCAAGUCAACUCAACAGUGAUGUAACCUGCUCUAGUAUCUCAGUAGAAUAUGGGGAAAAGUGUUAGAAAAGUCUUAAACCUAUUACAUUGGUGCCGAUUUAAUUCUAAACCUUUUGACGAUGCCAGUUUACUCUUAAAGCUUUUGACUUUGUGCCAAUUCAGUCCUUUUGGUUAAUUUUGGCUAGAUAUUGAUGAAGUGGAUGUUGAUUGGCUAACGUGGUACCGUUGGUCUGACAUGAACAAUUUUUUAAUAAUUUUCGAUUUUUUUAUUUUCUUUUUUUUUUUCCUUCACUUCCAUUCUUCUUCCUUUAAGUGAUGGAAGAAGAUUUAGCUUGGUCGUUACUCCUCUCCUCAGGUUCUAGCAGCUCGAAUAUGCUGAAUCCCAAAGAUCUCAAACUUUCCUUUUGCGCUUUGUCCUGGUGAAAGUUCGUUCACGAUCUGUGGUGUAUUAUGCUCCUAGUAGAAUAAAUGUCUCUCGAAGAUUACUAAAAUCGCCUGAAAAAAGGGAAAAAACGUAAAAAUUAUGGCAGCUUCGGAGCAUGAAAUUGAAGAACCAGGAGUCAACAUUAGUCAUAUAUGGGGCAAGGCAUGUUUCAAGACGUCUGUACAAAUAAAACAAGGAAGAUACAUAUCAAAUCGGUUGAUACUUGUAAUAAUGACUGCAAACAAUUCCUAAUCUCUAUUAAUUUGCGAAUGCUUCUGCCUAACUUAUGUCUACCGCCAGGUGAUACUUCUAAGACUUUAAGCUAUUAGGGAUUUGACGCAAUAUACAAUCCAAGUUUUAAAAAAUCUGUAGCAAAUGUGAUGUGAAAGUGGUUCACAUCAUGCUAAUAUUAUUGGAAAAGUAUAUUCAUUUAGCACGCCAACGGAAGGACAAAUGGGAUUUCAGAUACCGUCGGGAGCAACUCAAAAGAAUUACUUGGCAUAUGUUUGUGGCCAUUCAACUAGAUUAAUACUGAGUGAAAGCCUUUUGACAAACUUCAUAACCAGUUAAAAGAUUAAAGUGGAAUGCCAUGCUAUUGCAACAUUUUGGGUUAUUGAGGUGUAAUACUAACCUUCACAACAUGAGGUUUAUUCAUGCUAACCUUCUUCUUUGUAUGCCUCCGGAUUCUCCGCCUUUGCCCAAAAAUCUUCUCCACGAACCAACGUUAUUGACCAGUCCGAUUCCGCGACCUGUCAACACAAUUUUCCAGUCUAGUUCUUCGAUCCAGAUUCCGGAGUACAAUGUUCAGUUCUGACCAAACACCAAUUUUGGGGUGCACUUUUGAUUUGAAUUUGAACGAAAAUUAAUUUUUUUUUUUUUAUAUAAAAAACAGGGCCUCGUAAUGCAGAUUCCUCCAUGGUUUUUGAAUUUUUGAGUAAUUGGAGUUGUUUUAGCCAAGUGAAGUUGAUGGAAUUCCACAUCCCAUAUGUGGGUGCAUGGGAAACACCCCUUUUCGCAAGGUAUGACCAUAUCGUUUAUAUUUAUUGGUAUUCAAAAACUCAAUAUUUACAAUUGAGAAUUAUGAUAAUAGAAAAAUAUAAUAUUAUCUACAUUAACAAAUGACUAGUACAUAUGCCUAUUUAUAGGCGUGUUUCUUUUUUCAUGGGAUCAUCGUAUCAUUUAUUUCUUGGCAUUCAAAACUCAAUAUUUACAGUUGAGAAUUAUGAUAAUAGAAAAAUUAUAAUAUUAUGUACAUCAUCAAAUGACUAGUACAUAGGCCUAUUUAUAGGCUUUAUAGGAUUCCGUUUAAAGUAGCAAAAUAUCAAUUACAAAAUCUCCUCAAUAUAUUGUUAAUAUUCCCUCUCAAACUCAAAAUUGUUUUAAAUGGGCUCAACUUAAGUUUGGAAAAAAGAAGUCCACUCGAGCAACGAUGGUUUGCUUUUUACUACACCCUGAGAUAAGCGAAGUGCCCAAAAAGGAAAGGUAGCUAGUAGUGCGGCAACGAUCAUAAGGGUCGUCGACCCAAUUAGCAUCGGAAUAAGCUGUUAACUCCUAAGUAGAAUGAGUAGAGUAGUGAGGGUUAUGAAAUAACAUACAAUUGACGUAGUGAAUAAUUCAAAGGAUUGUGACAAAAUGAGUGGUACGGAGCAUAGUCAUGACAUGUACCAACUAACAAUAUGAGUAGAAUAAGCAACGUUAGGUGGAAGAAGGACACCCGUGUGCUCAAACUUGAUACGAAGGGACACUUAAGUAUCAAAAGUUAUGAAAGUGACACUUAAGUGUCACUUUUUUUUUUUUUAAUGGGACACUUUAGUGCCAAGUCUGGUAAAGGUGACCGAAAAUCUUACGUGAUAAUUUUUUAAUAAUAUAACUCACUUAUAUGGCAUGCCGGAGAGUUGAGUCAGCAACGAAUCACUAAAAUGACGUUGUUUUGUUUUGUUUUGUUUUGUUUUUUUAAUUUCAAUAUAUAUAUUAAUUAUAUUAAUAUAUUUAUAAUUAUAUUAAUAUUUUAUUUUAUUAUGUAAAAAAGAGGAAGAUGGAAUUUGCAGGCGUCGAGGGCUCAGCCCUCGCCGCUGCCUCCCCACUGUCGCCGAGAAGGGCCGACGAUGGUGGGGAAAAGGUCGGCUAGCUAGUUGGGCGAGGGUCGGCAACCUUCGCUAGAUUUGGGGAAGGGUUGCGACCCUCGCCUCAGAUCUGGGUGAGGGCUCGCAGGGCCGGCGACCCCGGCUGACCCUUCCCCCAUUGUCGCGGGCCCUUCUCGCUAAUGGUGGGGAGGUGUCGAUGGAGGCUAAGCUCUCAUUACCCUCAACCUCCAUCUUCCUUUGUUUUUUUUUUUUUAAUAUUUUAAUUUGAUUUUUAAAUUUUAUCUAAUUAAUAUUUAUAUUAAUUAUCUAUCCAUGUCAGAAGUAAGACAACGCCAUUUUUGCACUUGUUUAGCCAUAUCAGUGUGCAAAAUGAUAUCAUUUUGCAUUUGACUCAUCGGAAAAUCGCCACGUUAGCAUUUUAGCCGGAUUUCAAUUUUACUUCGAUUUUGACACCUAAAUGUCAUUUUCAUAACUUUUGACACGUAAGUGUCAUUCCAUUUCGUGUCAAGUUUUGGCACUUCAGGUAUUCUUUUCCCAAUGUCAGGUUGAGUAACAAUGAGAUAUAUAAAACUAUCGACUAAUGGUGGGACAUAUUAUCGACUGUGUUUAUAGUAAGGGCAUGCGAAGUAAAUGAUUUUGAUUGAAACAAAUUAGAAUUUGAAGUCACAUGUUUGCAAAAGAUAGUAAAAAAACGACAAAUCAGAAUUACCUAAAGCAAUGGACAUAACUUGUUCAAAAAAAAAAAGAAAAAGCAAUGGACAUAACAAAAACAACACAGGAGAUAGAAGUACCAAAUUCUUGAAGAAUGGAAUAAAGAUUCUCUAAUGAAAGAGUAAUAGAUAAUCAUCGGAGAAGCCUUUAUGAUUGCAGCACUAGCGGAUAAACUUGCAUGUAGAUCAUGGUUUUGGGGUCGACUAUCCAUUCUCGUAAGUGCUUAGGUCCUAAUCUAUUGAAAUUAGGCAUUGAAACUUCUAAUGUAUUCAUAAUAUGCACUUUAGCAGUUUCGUCACAGUGGAUGGGAAAAGAAAUGUGAGAAAACCAAUGUCUAGAGAGCAAUAAUGGAGAUAAUAAGGCCAAAAAUAGGUUUAGCACGUCAAAAUACCUUAGGAAUUGGUCUAAAUAUGACUGAAUCGAUUAGAAAAGUGCCUCGGAACCGUUAGAUUGGUUUGACCGAACCGUUCAACGAUCAACACCCGAAGUCCAUUUGAUCCAUGCUAGUCAACGGUUAUAAUAGACUGACUAACCAAAGGGUUAUAUUCUUAGUACUUUAGUCUUCCACUUUGAUUCAACUUUACGUGAAUACUUAGUUUAGCCCUCCCGUGUUGAUAACACUGAACCACUCAUCUUGUGGCCAUUGUUUUUGUGAAGGCACUAAAAGUCUUAUGUGGUUUCACAUUAUCAUAUGACGUUUCUUUUGUUCCAUGAGUUUUUCCAUCUACAAUUAUCAUAGCAUUUCAAUUAAGUUGAUGGAAUUCCCCAUUCCAUACUCAGGUGCAUGUGAAACAAAUUUCUUUUUGCGAGGUAUGAUAAUAUCAUUUAUAUCUUUUGGCAUUUAAAACUCAAUGUUUACAAUGCCCAUAGCAAUAAUAUUAUCACAUCAUCAAUCAUGUAGAAAUUGGCUCAGGAAGUUUUGACGAUAUAUUAAUUAGCCCUUUUCUUUCCCUUGAUUUUUUCAGCAUUGAGAAGGGGUGAAGAGACGCAUGAGGACAUUAGGACUAAAAUAAGUGAUUAUGUGGCUCAUAUACAAGAUCUACUUUAACAUGUACUUUGUUUUAAGGGGUAAGGUGCAUGAGAAGUAUUAAAACUCAUCAUAAAAAUACAAUUAAGUUCUAAAAUUUUCAAAAAGUGCGAUUAAGUUCUUCACGAAAAUGCAAUCAAGUCCUUAAGAUUUUAAAAAGUAUAGUCAAGUCAUAAAAUUUAUCACGAACGUACAAUUGAGUCCUAAAACUUUCGUAAAGUGCCAUCAUGGAAGGAUUUGAUUUGACAGAUUUGAAAAGUUUUAGAACUUGAUUGCACUUUUUAAAAGUUGUUGGAUUAUAUUGCAUUUUGUUGAUAAGUUUUAGGACUUCCAAUGUACUUAUACUUUAUUUUAAUUAAUACCUGUCACAAAUUCUAUUUUUGUUUUCCCUGACUCGUAUCAUAGUGCAAGUUCUCAACAAACUAGUGCGAUAAUGAUGGUUUCACACAUACAUUUGCUUUGUCUGUUUGCCCGUUGAGGUAAAGUUAAAGCAUUAGUUCUUCAUGGAUAUUGCUCAAACUAUGUGCCUCCAUUCCUGACCUCUCAUAAACCAAUUUUUUUUUUUCAUAUAUCACUUCCGUAAUGCAAUUCACCAAUGCCAUACUUAUCGAGGAGAGUGCAUGAAUAGAAGAAUGAUGAUGUUUUUAUUCUCUGGCUAUCAUCUUGCACUAUCAAUUUUUAGCAGUCUUGUGAUUAUACGUGCAUUAAUUGACAAAGCAUCUAUGUUAUGUUUGUAAUAAUAUGUAUCAGAAAGGCAUUAAUCUUUCUCAGAUAGCUAAAUCAUGAUGGGUAUAUUGGAUAUAUCAACACUUCUAAAAUAUUCGAAUGCCAUUAUUUUGUAAUGAUUAUGAUAAAAGUUAUGAUAGCCUUGAUAGUCAUUAUUUUGUAACAUUUUUCAAGUCAAUGCAAUAAUUGAUGAACAAAAAAUGGCCCUUUCUUUCAUUUAUCUACAAAUAGAACCUCCAAACUACCAUUCAAAAUAUAUGGGAAUUCAAUCUUAAACUUGACAAUUUGUCAAUGUAGUCCUUCCGGUUAAUUUUGACUGUAAAUCACGAACAUAGAUGUUGGAUAUCUUAUAUGACAUGGUCGGUCUUAACAUGAAUAAUUUUUACAAUAAUUUUUCAAAAUUUUUAUAUUUUAUUUUUAUAUUAUUUUUUUCAUUGUGGCUAUCGAGGGUUGGCCCUCACCGGCCACCUCACCUAGAUAUGGCAAGUUGCCCUCGCUAGCCACAAUGACCAAAAAAAAUAAAUUAAUAAAAAAUUAUUAAAAAUUAUUAAAAAUUUUGAAAAUUUGCCCAUGCAAGAGUCGAUUGUGUUAUGUAAAAUAGCUAUCAUCCACACAAGUGCCAUAAAUUUAAGACUUCUUUAGUAAUUUCCCUCCAAAUACACACAACUCAUGAACAAAAAUUGUUCGACCAAAAAAACAAUCAACAAAAAAUUGCCUCUUUUCCCUUCCAUCGCGUUUCUUUCUUUCCUAGGCUUCACGCAUAGUUUUGUUGUUCCUCUUUCCACUAUUAUUUAGUGUAAAGAGUAAAAUUUGUUGCACCAAGUUUCAUAUUCCAAGAAGUGGAAUUAUCCUUAAGAGCAAUGUUUAUACGCCUCUAAAAGUUGUUAUUUUAAUCUUUUCUAUCAUAUUUCCAACAGGGUAUUCAUCCACAAACAACUUGUGAUCUAAGUCCUGAAAGACUUGGUAGGCUUUAGUCUAGCUAGAACUUCCAUUGAAGUUUGCCAGGAUGUAGUGAUAAGGCAGAACAUGAUAUAGAAAUGAAGAUCGUGUUAAGGGUUCGAUUAAUGCGAGUCCCGUGUAUAGGUUUUGGCGCAGGAGUUCCGACAAACUCAUAAAGAAUUAAAAUGUGAGAUUUGAUGCUCUCUUUUGAUAGUUAACAGAGUUAAGCCCGUGUAUUGUAUUGAACACUAGAUCUCUUGGAUCUUGGUCAUAUGCACCGUUCUUAGGCCAAUUCCUUUAUCAUAAGCCGGAACAUUAUUUGGAAUUGAGAAAUGAAAUCUCGAGGUGCCACCAUUUUCAGGACAGUGAUAGUUCUCUUUAAAACUCUCAUUUUUCAAAGGGAAAUUGGUUGACUCACUUAAACGGUUUCAUUUCGUAUUUACUUAUCUUUCUUUGCCACGAUUGCUUUUGAUCACAAUAUUAUUCAUAUACAUAUAAAUAUGCGCACAAAAAAAUCAUAAUUGGCAACUUCUUGGUCAAAAUAUAUGCAAUAUGCAAUGUAUACGGCUUUUUAAUUAUUUAAAUAAAAAGUAAAUGACUUUUUUAGAAUAACGACAUAACAAGUAAGUGAGUUUUUUUUUAGAGCACAAAUCGGUAACCAAGCUACUUCUCAUUUAUUUAAGUAAGCAUAUCAAUUUGAAAGCUUGGGAUAUUUAAUUGAAUGGAAAAGUAGAGGAAUCAAAUAGCAAAAAAAGGAAAUAUUUAUGUAUUUGGGUCCACAUCUCUAACUUAUUUGAACAAAUUAAAAAUUUAGAGAUAACAUUAUACAUUGGGUUAUAGUUUAGGAAUCAUACAGAAUAAAUUAAAAAUUCAGAGAUCACAUUACACAUCAAGUCAAAAUUUAGGGAUUAUCUAAGUCAUUUCCUUCCUCCCCUUUUAAUAAUAUCACACGCAAAGUUACAAGAACGGGCUUGGACCAUGGACUAGGCCCAUAGACCCGGCUAAGGAUUUGGGCCCGAGCCAACCCACCCCGAUAGAGUCGGGCCCAUCUCCGGCGUCCUUCGGCCGAGCUGAAAUGUCUGGCCCGGCCUGGGGGCGAUCCAUGUUCGUUUCCGAGUUUCCUAACAGUAAAGCGCGACUCCGGAUUUUCCAACACCGGCGAAGAAGCCGAGCUCCCUCCCAAAAUUCAAAGCGCAUGCAAGGAAGGCAGCGAAUCCUGCGGCGUCGAGAUUGCCUAUUUGGGCCGUGAGCUUUUGAUCUCCGGUGCUCGCCGGCCGGGCGGCGAUUCAGCGGGCGAUCUCCCAACGGCACAAAAUGGUGCGCGCCUCCGUUUUUUUUUUCUUCGCGUGAUCUCGAAACUCGAUUUCUUCCCGCCGUUGAACAAUGAAUGCGUGGAAGGAUCCGCAUGAGUUCUGAUUUCGACGUCUCGCCUCGCGUCUAGCUUGCUAGACUUCGUUUUUCACUGAUUUGAGCUCGCGAAUGCUGGCCUCGGGAUUUACCGUUUCGUUUGCCUUUUUUUUUUUCCCUUUCUUUUGGGCCGAGAAACUGAAGGGAGAUGGAUUCGAGCUCUGGAAUAGGUAGCUGUAAUGACUUCAAACAUUGGCUUUUGGAUGUGGAGAAAGGCUGAGGCUUUGGGUAGUUAGAAUUCUUCCUUUUUUUUCUUAUGAAGUAAAAGGAGUUCGCUAAUACGAGGGAGCUGAAGAAAGAGGAUCGCAUGUGCAUUCUAUUUUUCUGGUUUUGAUUGGGGACCGAUUGUUUUUUUGUUUGUUAAUUUGUUCGACAGCCGUUCAGAUUGGAAAUUAAGGUUUGUCUCUGGUCACCCGUGGUUUUACAUUGUCUUUUUAGCAUGGGAUUUUGUAUUGAUUGCUUCAAUUAACUGUGUCCAUGCCAGAGGAAAUUUGCUCAGCGGUCAGAGAGAGUGAAGUCUGUAGACCUGCAUCCUAUAGAGCUAUGGUCGGCAUGACUCUGUUCUUUCAACUCUUUUCAACUUCCAUACAAAAUAUAACAAUGCAUAUUUGCUUAACUCUAAUUGCUGUUGAUGCAGGAUCCUGUCAAGUUUGUAUGCAUUGUAUAUGGGAUUACCCGUCGCAGGUACUAUCUAUGAAUCUUGAUCGAGCAGCUCCUUCAAAGAAGUCUUCAUUGACCCAGUCCCGAAUUGUCAAAAUUGUCAUUCAUUGCCGUAUGGUUCAAACCCUUCCCCAACGCACUAGGUUUUGGCCCAACACGCACGUAGAAGAACUCCUUGGAGCCUCCUAAGUCUGGCGCCAUUGGACAGCAUUUCCAAAUCAACUCAACAAUGAUGUAACCUACCCUAGUAUCUCAAUAGCAUAUGCAUCCACCUUUAGAAAAUAGUCUCCUUUAGAAUUUCUCAUGCACAUCAAGAAAGUAUAAAUGCUUUCCUUUACUCCCACGACAGACCCAGAAGUGUAAACAAAUCGGAUUGACUUCACCAAGAUAAGGUAAAUAAGCAAAACCGAGGGUAUGAGAAGAAGAGGGUUGUACUGUGUCGUGACCAAAUUUUCGGGUGUGAACCAUCUAAGGUUUAGUUAAUGGAUUGUUAAGCCUAGACUUAACUCGGGUUUUCCUAAGCUUAUACCAACUCGUGAUUUAAGUUUAAAUUUCUUAACAUGCAAAUGGAUUUUAUUUAGGAGUCGCCACUAAUCAGUUUACGGUAGGCCGAUUAGAUACCUAAGUAAAAUAAUGAGAGGAUUAUUUUACUCCUACAAACAGAGACUUCGGGUAUAGGGACUUGGUUAUACUAGACUUCUCUAAUGCCCUUUUGGUACAAUUUCUUUUUAUUUUGAAAAAUUAUUUGGCAAGCAGUUUGAAUUAAUUUUAAUUACUUUCCUAACAUGUGAGGUGAUCAUACGAGUGUGCAUACCACCAAUUUAACACGCAAUAAAAAAAAAUGCAGGACUUACCUUGUAGCAAUGAAAACAUCUGCGUUAUUAGUUUCCGAAUUCACAUCAUCAACUCUAGAUAUGAUUUUUAAUUAACACGCAAUUCCUUUUUAUUUUCACUUAAUUAAUCAUAAUCAUGUUUUAUGCAAUGCAAUAUAACUAAAAUGACCUAAUUCUAAUGACAUGUAAUUUCUAAUUAAAUGGACCUAGCAACAAUCACUAAAUGACAUGCAUUUCAUGAAUCUAAUUCUAUAUGACAUGCACAUGAAUCUAUCCUAGAAAAUAAAACUAAUUUAUUCUAAGACAUUUUUUGUAUUUUUUUAUGAAAUUCGAAAUUAGAAAAAUGUGAAAAUUAUCUAGCUAGAUUAAGAAUCUAUCCAAGUCAGGCUAAACCCUAAUUUAACCAAGAUAUUAUCUUAACUUAGCAAUCUCUAUCCUAAGAUGCAGUCUAUCUAAAAAGAUUAAUCUAAACGCCUUAAUUCUACAUGACAUAUGCAUGAUGAUUUUUUAUGUUUUUUUUUUAAAUUCGAAAUUUAAAAUUGCCACAUAAUUAAACAUGCAACUUAAAUUAAACAAAAACUAACAUCCUAAAUGAAUGCAUUUUUUGGAUUUUUUUUUUAUUUUUAAAAAAUUCGAAAUAAAAUCCUUAUUCUAAAUAACCCUAAAACAAUAAAACAAACAUAAUCCUAACUCAAAUAUUUUUUGGAUUUUUCCUUUUACAAAAAUAAAGUUGAUUUAACCAACAUGACAGCAAAUCGGAUAAGAUAGGAACGAUAUCCACAAAUUAGUGAACCAUCUCGCGCAUGAGAUCGGGUUGGCCAAUUUUUAAAUAAAUCGUGAAUCGAAUCUCGAACGUGAGAUCGGAUUGGCGAUUUUUCCGUGUGAUUGCGAGUCGUAUUUCGAGCGUGAAAUCGGAUCGUCAAUCAUAUACACGUUGUGAAAUUGAGAAAAUUUCCCAACUUAGAAGGUUACUCGAGUUGCGAUUAUCACGGCAUAUCAGGGAUUUCAAUCAUGUGCAUCAUUCGAAGAUUUGAAUUUAAUCGCAAUAUCAUUGAAUUAAGUAAGGAAAUUACCAAAUUAAAUUUGGGUAAUAUAUUUACCUAUUUCGUAAUAUCAUUCCCGAAUUUGGACUCGUCGGAUGAUGGAGCUCGCAGUGAAUUCUACAAAAAGAAAAGUCGAGCGCGAUGGUGGAUGAUUCACGGUGAUAUCCGGCUGAGGAGGGACUACUUCGCGGUGGUUGCGGCAGCUCGCUAAAUUGGACUGAAAUUGUCGCAACGAACUACUCAACAAAUCUGGGAAAAUCAAUGGAGCCGGCUGGACUUGCGCCAGGUGGUGUCUGCGAUUAAUGGAGAUCGUGACUGUGUGUGGCAGUGCAUUAAACAUAUAAUAACCACGUCAGGAAAGUGAAACCAUGAGAGAACCAGAAAACUCUUCUUCUCUUAUUUUCAGGUGUUCACAUGGGCAUGAUAUGUGUCCCUUGUACGUGACUAUAGAGAAAAAAAAAGUGGAAUUUUAUUGAGAAUUGAUAACUCCCUUGAUAGCUUGAUGAUCCCCUCGGUUUACGCCUGAAGUUGGUCUCAGUGCGGCAGCAGCUUUGUCGAUGAGGAAUCCGCGGUGAUGGUGUCACAUGCGGGCCGACAAUGGGAUUCCUGCUCGGCGAAGCCUGCUGGUCUUGUAAGGCUGCACAUGACAACGCUUCUGCUUCGGGGAAGAGUUUUUUGGUUCUCAUGCGCAUGAGAAACAGAAACGUUCUCAUGCGCUACCUAAUUCUUGGCCAUGGAUCCCCGAUGGAGGUGGUGACCACACGUGAGCACGGACCGAUGGUGAGGUGGAUGCUCAGACUUUCGCCGAGAUAGCCUCAUAGCGAACCUGCAAAACAGAGAAUGAUUUCGUUGCGGGGAGGCACCAAAUUGAUCUCGGCUCGACAUGGUAGAGAUGUCACGGCUCACGGCACGGUAAAAACUCCAUGGUGCUCAUUCGAGAUCCUGCAAAACUGAAAGAGCUUCGCUGUUGUGAAAGGCAAGAGCUCGGCUGAGAGGGUGUAGGUAUUGCGUGGAUGGCUAUUAGCAAUAGUGAUGGCCAGUGGAUCUCGGGAGGCGAUGAUAGAACGAUCUCAGAAUUGGGACCGGAAGAGCAGAAAGAACUCCGGUUUCUAUUCUCUAUUGGAUCCCCUGGCUCUCUCUUCUCUCAAUUUGCCCUCCAUCGAAUUGUGCGGCCUUGUAUUCAACGUGUGGCCCCCCCCAAAACCUAUGCGAAUUAACCUAUUUAUAGGCCAUGGAUUAGUUUUUUUUUUAUUUUAAUUUUCCAAAAUCAUAUCAAGGAAGAUUUCUUUUCCAAACGCGAUCUUUGCUUUUGAAUUGAAAUCUCACAAAGAUAAAUCCGUAAAAUCUCUCCGUGAAUACGGGCUUGGGCCGAUUUGAUCGCUUCAUGGCCUUAGUCCGGCAUAUUAAGUUAAAGCUCAGAACCACUAAUUUGAACUUACCUAUCAUCGGUCCAAUAAAUAUAUGCAAAAAAUGCAAAUUAAGAAUAAAUGCACAUAAGUCUAUAUGCUAUGCAAUUAAUAUUUUUUCAGAGAUAAAAUUACCCCCUAAUUUUCUAUGCAAUAAAAAAAUGACUGGAUCGCCAAAAUUUAGGUGUCAACACACUGUAAUGACCUUCCCGAUCAGAUUGCAAGGCCUUGCAGGUGAGCCGCGUCGAUGUGAGACACGUCCUCUUUUUCUUUUCUUUUCUGUUUGCUCUGGAAGGCACUCUCAGCUUGCAUUCCGCUCAAUAUGAUUCUGCUACUUUGGUCUACCCUUUUUUCAAUCUUACAUUUUUGUGUUAGGGAUUGUGUAUUUGUUUGGUUUGAAUCCAUGGGGAUGGAAUUGUCAUGAGCACCCUAUUCGGUUUUUCAUUUUUCACAUUGCUUUCACCAAGCGGAGUCAUAUUUUUCUGACUUUUUUGGUAUGUGAUGUUGAUAAGGUGGGAAUCCAUCCCUGAUGCUAGGGAACCUGCUUCGCUUCGCUUAGAGUAACUGGGAAGGACGAUCGAUUUUAGCCUUGAUUAAUCAGCAACUCUGGAUGGCCUGACGUGAAUAUGCUGAGUCCCGAAGAUCUCAUACUUUCCUUUUGCAGUGUGUCCUGGUGAAAGUUCGAUUACGAUCUGCGGUGUAUUAUGCUUCUUUUGGAAUAAAUGUCUCUUGAAGAUUGCUAAAAUCACCUGAAAAAAAGAGAGUAUAAUAAUGGCAGUUUCAGAACAUGAAACUGAUGAACAGGAGUUUACAUUAAUCAUAUAUGGGGCAAGGCUUGUUUCAAGACGUCCGUACAAAUAAAACAAGGAAGAUACAUGUCAAACAGGUUGAUACUUGUGAUUAUUACGACUUGAAACAAUUCCUAAUCUUUAAUGACUUUGAAUGCUCCUGCAUAGCUCAUGUCAACAACCAGAUGUUACUUCAAACAUUUUAAGCUAUCAUGAAUUUGACUCGCUCUAUAUAGUACUUUGUAACACAAGUUUUAACAAAUCUGUAGCACACGAGAUAGUGAAAGUUGGUUCCCAUCAUGCUAAUAUUAUUGAAAGAGUUGGUUCAUUUCGCUCACAAAUAAAAGCACGGAUGGGAUUUCAGAUAGCAUUGGGAGCAUCUCAAAAGAGUUACUUGACAUGUUUGAGGCCAUUUAUGCUUGAUUAAUACUGAGAUGAAAGCCUUUUAACAUUUUGUCAGCUUCAAAAUAUUCUGGAAAGAUUUCUCCAACAAUUGCAACAUUUUGAGUUAUGGAGGCGUAAUGCUAGCCUUCACAACAUGAUGUAAAUUCAUGCUAACCUUCUUCUUGGUAUGCCUCCGGGUUCUUUGCCUGCACCCAAAAAGCUUCUUCACGAACCAAUGUUGUUGAACUCCUGUGGUUGUGUUGUUCCAUAACCACUCCAAUGCCCAGUACGAUUCCGCGACCCAUCAACACAAUUUUCCAGUCUAGUUCUUCGAUCCAGAUCCUCGAGUGCAAUGUUUAGUUUUGACCGAACACCAAUUUUGGUGUGCACUUUCGAUUUGAAUUUAAACGGAAAACUGAAAACAAUUUAUAAGAAACAGGGCCUCGUAAUGCCGAUUCCUCCCAAACGUGGAGGCCAUGACUCAUUGCCUUGAGGUGAAGUGACAACACUAGUUAUUCUUCAUGGGUGUUUGUUGCACAAACUGUGAGCCUCCAUUCCAAACCCCAAAUAAACCCCUCCCCCUUUUUUACCAAGAUAUCACUUCUGCAAUGCAAUUCACCAAUGUCAUACUUACCCAAGAUAGUGCAUGUACAGAAGGGUGAUGCAUUUGUUCUUUGACUUCUUGCACUAUUAAAAUCUUCAGCAGCCUUGUGUUUAUAUGUGCAUAAAUCGACAAAGCAUCUAUGUUUUGUUUGUAAUAAUUGUUGGAGAAAUCUUCUUGAAUUGUUUUGAAGCUGACAAAACGUUUCCAUCAGUCUAGUCUGAAGGCUUGCAGACUCUGCUAUUUAAAGUCUCAAGACCUCCGGACAGCCAGACUCAAGACUCAAAGUCUAUCCUUAUUGAUAGUCUCUAAUCCGUUGAAGAAAGGUUAUCCAGAACUGGAUGUUUCGUUAAGGAUUUAACCUUAUCAACUGGAGAAGAUCUCGUGGCUGGAAAAGACAUAACAGAGUCCUUUGAUUGAUCGAAGAUUGACUCGAUAAUUGAAGAUCCGGUGAUUGCCUAAAUAUUAUUGGAAUGUUCUACUUAUGGAAACCGAUAUCCUGAUUGUAUGGGCGAACAUGAUUGAUGGGCUAUCGACACGUUCCUUUAAUAGCUCGGAUAAUCUUCCUAAUUGAUUCCGUCCAACGGGUAGAUUGGAGGAAUUCUUUUGGUAAGUGCCAACGGGUAUGAUGGCAUAAAAGAGUAUAUAAGGAAGACGUUCUAAGUUGUUGAGGUGUGCGCGAUAGAAGAAUUCCAAAGUCUGAAGCUCCUUUUUUGUUUAGACAAUUCAUUUGAGCGAAUACUUGUAUACAAAAGAGAGUCUAUAUUUGUGAGAAAUCUUGAGGAGGUGUGGUAGAACAUCUACACUAUGGAAUCAAGGCAAAACUGUGCUGUAACUUCUCUUUUGUUCAUAGUGGAAUCCAGCCAAUAGGCUGUCAGUGCAGAAGAGUGGACGUAGGCUUGACAUAAGCCGAACCACUAUAAACCGCGUGUUCAAUUUUCUCUUCUCUCAGUCUUACUUUGAUUAUCCUUUGUCUCAAAUCCAUCAACUGUCUAGUAUUGUGCAAUUAUUGAGAAAAAAUCUUUUAUAUACCUAUUCACCCCCCUCUAGGUACUUAUACUAGCUAUAUCAAUUGGUAUCAGAGCCUGUGUACUUACCUUAUUUGAAGUGUUUUACUUCGUAGUAAAAGAUCCAUGGCUAGUAUGCUAGCACCAGGGCUGAUGGAAGGGCAAAGUAAUACCAGACCACCCUACUUUGAUGGAAAGGAUUACAACAUCUGGAAGAACAAGAUGAAAGCUUUCCUACGAUCAAAGGAUCCUCUGGAAUGGGACGUUGUAGAAAAAGGAAUUACUCCUACAGCUGCAUCAGUCUCUGAAAGAGGGAAAGAAACCGUUGAGACCAGCGGAAUGACUCAGGAAGAGAUAAUCAAGAGACAAGCACUCGAUGCAAAAGCAAUUUACUCUUUAUAUUGUGCUUUGUCACCAACUGAAUAUAAUAGAAUAUCUUCUUGUGUUACAGCAAAAGAAGUUUGGGACAGAUUGCAUAUCACCUAUGAAGGAACAGAUCGAGUGAAGGAAACCAGAAUUAACAUUCUUCUCGGUCAAUAUGAAGCCUUCAAAAUGAAACCAGGAGAAUCUAUAAUUGACAUGUUUAGCCAUUUUACAGAUAUUGUCAAUGGUCUUGAGAAUCAAGGACAAACAAUUUCUGAUCCCAUGAAGGUAAACAAGCUACUGCGUGGACUCUCCAAGGAUUGGAAUCACAUAAAGACUUCGAUAAGAGAGACGCAAAGAAUUAUGCCACUAUCUAUCGACGAGCUGAUUGGAACUCUUCAGUCUUAUGAAGUGGAACGGAUCAAUGAAGAUGAAGAUCCAAAAGGUAAGAAAUCCAUUGCAUUAAAAUCAAAUGAUGAUUCUGAUGAUACAGAUUCUGAAGAUGAUAUGGACGAUGAGGAGCUUGCUCUCAUGAUAAGAAGAUUCAGAAAACUGAAUAGAAAAGGAAGAAUGUUCAACUCAAAGAAACAAAGCUUUCAAAGACAGCAGACCAAGUCUGUUGAUGAUGAGGAACCAAACAAAGAUGUAGUCUGCUUUGAAUGUAAGAAAAAGGGACACAUCAGACCCAACUGUCCUCUUCUGAAGAAGAAGAGAGGAAAAGCUGAAAAAUUUCGAAAAGCUCUCAAAGCCGAAACCUGGAGUGAUACAGAGUGUGAAGAAAGUGAUAAUGAAUAUGCCAAUCUAUGUCUGAUGGCACAAUCAGACUCAGACUCUGGAUCAGACUCAGACAGUGAAUUUGAGGCAAGUAAUUUUAAAAUUCCUGUCAAAGUUUCUAAAUACAUUGAUGAACUGUGUUUUAGUCUUAAGACUUCUCUCAAAAGAAUUUCCGAACUUAAAAAGGAAAACUCAGCUCUAAAACAAAAGGAAAACGUUUUAGAAGAAAGAGCUAAAAGUCUAGACUUGACUGUUUCCACUCUUAAAGAAAAUGAAGAUAAUCUUUUAAAAGAAAAUGCUCUUUUAAAAACUGACUUAUCAAAUAUUUCAAAGAAAUUUUCAAUAGGGUCUGAAAAAAUUGAAAAAAUUCUUUCAGCUCAAAGACCUUACUUCAAUAAGUCUGGUCUAGGUAUGACAGCAGAAUCAAUUCCCUUGAUUGAUUUUCCUAAAGUAAAAGAAAGAAUUAAGAAAAGACCCUCGAGAGAUGCUUACAAAAAUCAUUUCAAGAAAGUUUUUGUAAAAUCUGUAGGUAGAAAUGCUCUCAGAUGUUCAAAGUGCAACAGUUCGGAUCACUUUGAAAAAGAGUGUCCUAUGGUUUGGAAACCUGUUAAGAAAAUAUGGGCUAAUACUGCUUAUCUUACUAACACCAAAGGACCCAAGAAAGUUUGGGUACCAAAGAAAGCUUGAGACUUUAUUUUAAAUGCAGGUCUCCGUCAAGAAAAAGGUAAAGUAGAUACAACUUUAUUUAUCAAAAAGGAAAACAAAAGUUUCUUACUUGUUCAAAUAUAUGUGGAUGAUAUUAUUUUUGGAUCCUCUAAUGAAAAUUUGUGCAAGAAAUUUUCUAAGUCUAUGCAGGAUGAGUUUGAAAUGAGUAUGAUGGGAGAGUUAACAUUCUUUCUUGGUCUUCAAGUAAAACAAUUGAAGGAAGGAACUUUUAUUUAUCAAGAAAAAUAUGUUAAUGAUCUUGUCAAAAGGUUUGGACUGGAAAAGCGCAAAAAGACCGACAUACCGAUGUCAAGUUCUUUGAAGAUAGACAAAGAUGAAGAAGGGAAGAAAGUUGAUCAAAAGCUGUACAUGAGCAUCAUUGGUUCACUUCUUUAUCUUACUGCUUCUAGACCUGACAUUUUGUUGAGUGUUUGCAUCUGUGCUAGGUUUCAAUCAGAUCCUAGGGAAUCCCAUCUCAGUGCUGCGAAACGUAUUAUCAAAUACGUUGCUUCAUCAUCAAGCAUCGGUCUUUGGUAUCCUAAGAAGGGAGACUUUAAUCUUCUGGGAUAUUCAGACGCAUAUCUGGCCGGUUGCAGAGUUGAUAGAAAGAGCACUUCGGGAACUUGCCAGUUGCUUGGAAGCAGGACAGUGUCUUGGUUUUCAAGGAAACAAAGCAUUGUGUCUCUUUCAACAACAGAAGCAGAGUAUGUAGCCCUUGGAAGUUGCUGUUCGCAAAUUCUAUGGAUAAAACAACAGCUAAGAGACUUUGAAAUUGAAGACUCAUGCACGGAGAUUAAUUGCGACAACACCAGCGCUAUCAACCUCACCAAAAAUCCAAUUCUCCACUCAAGAGCAAAGCAUAUAGAGAUUCGACAUCACUUUAUUAGAGACCAUGUUCAAAAUGGAGAUGUUUCAAUUCAAUUUGUUGACUUAAAGAACCAACUAGCGGAUAUAUUCACAAAGUCUUUGGAGAAAAAUCAAUUUGAAUCUAUCCGUUCCAGACUCAACAUUUUGAGGUAUGAGGAAAUCAAAGUCUAAAGACUUUCAGACUUAGACUUACAAGACUUUAUCUGUAAGAUAGUCUUGGUACGACCGUCAGACUGUAAGUCUUUCUCUCUUUAAUCUUAUCUUGAAAAGGUACGAUCGUCAGACUGUGUUUAAAUUGUUGCUAUAUUUAAUCGACGUAAUUAUUGCAUCGUUUCAUUUUCAAAAAGGAAGUUAUUUUUGAAAUGGCUAUUUUUGCGGAAAAAAAAACAGUUAUUUUGAAAAGGCAUUUUUUUUAUUUCCUUUGUGACGGUUCGUUUAUCUCUCUUUUUAACCGAUCGUGCACUGUUGAUUCCUCUUCACUUUACUCUCAAAAACCCUAGAAAGCAUCGAUCCUCCAUUCCCCUUUGUCUUCUUUGUUUAAUCUUCAAAAAGUUGUCAUCUUUCUUGGAAAAGUCAAGCAAGGAAUCUUCCAAAAACUGAGAAAGAUGUCAUCUUCAAGAAAGUCUUCGAGAAUCGCAAGCAGGGGACCACGGCAAAUGAGUGAGGGGCCUACGCACUUCGAUCUUAUUGAAGAAGAAGUGUCUCCAGAACAGCAACCGAGCCCACAACAUUCUCAGCAGCAUCAUUCUCCUCCACCUAGUCCUCAAGGCGUUGAUCAUCAACAACAGGAAGAAAUCAUCGAGGAUGCAGACCCUGUAAGAGUUCAAAAGCCCGCUUAUAUUUACAAGCUAUAUCGUGCCUUAAAAGGAACUCGUACUCCUUUGAACUAUGUUGAUGAUUUUCUUAAAGACAAAGGAUAUGGGAACGAAUAUAUCUUUCUGCGAAAAAUGGAAAGUUUGGGAAUUGCUCGUAAAGGGGUGGCUGAAGAAACCCUUGCGAAUAUCCCAAGUGAUCCUCGUGACUGGGGGCCGAAUCCUGUAGAUGGGAAUGAUGAUGACAAAUUGUACAGCCAAUUUCAACCGAAAAUGAGUGUUGCGGUUGAAAAUCAAGGAAAAAGGGGAGAUUUGUUCAGAUCGAAGGAACAAAAUGAUCUGUACUUGAAAUUGCUGAAGCAUAGGGUAAUAAACCCUAGGAGUGUGGAUUUUGAUUUUCUAGAUACUGUGAAUGUGAACUUGAGGGAAAAGUUCAGUUAUCUUCAACUUGAAAAGUUAUGCUCUGACACUACAGAGGCCUAUGCUGAAUUAACUGCAUAUUUCUAUUCAAAUCUUAGCUUUUUGGAUGCGAAUAGAUUCUCUUUCAGCAUUAAAGACCAAGACUAUGUUAUGGAUAUGAAUAUGCUGGCAGAUGUGUUAGGAGUUGAAAGAGGAAGAUAUCAACCGAUCAAAGUUUUCAUUGCUCGGACCACACUGGACUGGUGAAGGACAGGAGAACAGAUGAGAAGAUCACCUACUUAAGGAUGAGUGCAUUCAACAUCUUGCUUCACAAGAUUGUGAUCAAUUGCUUCCGACCGAAAUCAACUUCCAAGACUGAUGUUUCAAGUUCAGAGGCAAAGCUGAUGUAUGCCAUCAUCUCUGGGAAAAAGUUUUCUCUCCCUCACACUGUUAUGUUUCACAUGUAUAGAGCAGUGAUGAAGGACAUAGGUCAACUCCCUUACCCAAGCCUUGUUACGAAGUUAUUCAGACAUCUGAAUAUUCAGCCUCCGCAAAUCUUUUGUGUUCGACCAUGCGAUCAUAUGGUAGUAGGAUUGAAAAUGGUGACCAAAAUGCGUCUGAAGGAAUUGAGCAAGGAGUUGGAGAAAUUCAAGGAGAAGACUCCUGCCAAAACUCAUCAAAUCUCUUCUGCAGCUAAAAGAAAAGGGAAGGAGCCCAUGGUUGCUCCAUCCAAGAAAAAAAGAGCUCUCCUCGUUGAGGAUGAAGAUGAUGAGGAAGACAUCACCAUCUCUGCAAUGGCUUUGAAGAAUUUAAGUCGUCCUGUUCCACAGAAAGAAUCGGAACAAUUGACGAAAGAAGCAGAGGAAAAGGAAGAAGAAGAAAGAGAAGUUGAAAAAGAAGCAGAGGAGGAAAGACCUGAAGAAGAAAGAAGAGAAGAAGGAGAACCUGAGGAACUCUCUUAUCCACAUGUAGGCAUGGAAACAGGGGGAGAUCAAGAGAAAGGAGGGAAGUUUUCAUAUCCUGAUGCAAGUGAAGGAGUCAGUCCCUCACCUGCAGACCCAGAGGAUGUUUAUGCCUCUCAGUUUCCAGAAGAAGGUCAUGAAGUUGUUAGGGAAAUCCCUUAUGAUGUUUUGAAGAUGACAAAAUAAAUCAAAGGCUACUAACAUGUUUAAUGGUUAAGUAAUAGACCAUGCAGAUGUUAGAACAUGUAGAGGAUAUUAUCAAAGUCAGAAGACGGCCAGAAGACUAAACGUAACAUAUGUCCAAAGUAUAUUCUGAAGAUUUCCAGACUUCUGUGUCAAAGUUUGAAGAUUGCCAGACUCAAGACUCAAAGUCUGAAGACUGCCAUACUUUAGUGUCAAAGUCUGUUCUACAUCAGAAGUCUGAUCAUUCUGACAAAUUCCAGACUGAACGUGAAUAAUGAACCAGAAGACAGACUCUAUGCUGAAGCUGAACUGGGUACAGACCUUAAAGCUAAAUCUGUUCAGAAACAGAUAUGUUCAGACCCAGAUUGUAAAGUCUAUUGCUAUCAGACUUUACAUCCAGAUUCAACAGAACGUAACUCAAGCCCAAUCAUAUAACGGCUAGUGAUCUGGUUUGGAUUCCACAUCAAGAUUGAUUUGAUUGAUUCAAUCUAAUUGAUUGACAAUUGGAUGUUGAAGACAAGAUCUUUCUAUACGAAGAAGCUUUACUUAUGGAAACCAAGAUUCCGUUUGUAUGGGCGAUCGGAAUCAAUUUGGGAUUCUACCUUUGUCACUCAACGGCUACCAAAUCUUCUAAAUACAGAGCUGUCCAAUGGGUAUAUUGGAAGACGAUUCUCCGGGAUACUGUCCAACGGGUAGUUUGGAAGUGGAGGAGUAUUUAAGGAGAUCAUGGACCGAUGAGCAAAAAAGAGACGGAGCGUAGAAUUUAUAAUUCCAAAGUCUGAGCGACUUUCGAUCAUAUACUUAUCUCUUGAGAGCUUAAACGUUUGUAAUCGUGAGAGAAAUACCAAAAGAGUGAUUUAGUGAGAUAGUGUGAUCUACUACUAAGUGUUUGCACUCGAAGUUGUAAUCUCUUGUUGAUUGCAUAGUGGAAUCCAGCCAAGAAGGCUGUUAGCGUGGGAGAGUGGACGUAGGCUUGGAUUAAGCCGAACCACUAUAAAUCUUGUGUUCUUAUUCUCUUCGCUAACUCCUUUAUUUUGUUCAUACUAGCACUCACAAUUGGUAUCAGAGCCAAGUGCUCGGUUUAUAAAAGUGUUUUUACUUUUGAGCUAAAGAUUCUUUAUGGCUAGUAUGUUGGCACCAGGACUUAUGGAAGGGCAAAGCAACACAAGGCCACCAUAUUUUGAUGGAAAGGAAAUUCGAUGGAAGAAAAUUUAUGCUUGAUGGCACAUUCAGAAUCUGAGUCUGAUUUAGGCACAGACUCAGAAUCAAAGUUUGACUCGGACACAGACUCAGAAUCCGAUGAGGAAAUCGAGAUGAGUUAUUUUUGCAGGAUAUAAAGAAGAAAGAAGAAAGAGAGUUUGGUAAGAAAUGUAUAUAUUUUUAUUUCUCAUUAUGCUUGAUAUUUGAUAUAUCUUUGGUUGAUCAAGAUUUUAUAAUGAUCAUCUUUUGCUUUAUUGAAGAAAGAAUCGCAUGAUUUGUUUUUGUGACAAGCUUUAAUUUGAUACAUGCGAUCGUUUUUGAUAUCAUGCUUAAAGACAAAUGAAUUUAUUUGGUUUAAUUUUAUACUCUCAAAUUUAAUCAUAUUUUGCAAAGUGAAAAUCUGUUUUACGUGAUGAUGCAAGAUAUUUUUAGAUAUUCAAAGAUUUCAUUCUCUAUGUUUUUAUCGUACCAUGACUAAGUGAGAAUUUAUUUUUCAAAAUAUCAUUAUGCAUAAUAUUCUUUCUUUGAGUACUCUGUUAUGAUGAAUUAAGAAAGAAUAUUUGAUUAUGGAGAUUUUCUAUUUUACUCUAACGUCAAGGAAGGAUCCAAAUUGAUGGAUACCAAAAAGGAAAUGAGUUGAUUGCAGGAAAUUCUAUAAGGGAAGAGUGAUCGUGAAUCUACGCAGAUUUUAGUACAAUCUGAAAAUAUCUCCUACGAAGAUUGGUAAUGAUUUUUUUUUUUUAAAUCAAUGGUAUAUUUGAAACAUAUACCAUGGGUAAGAGAAUAUUUUUCAUCCUACUUUGCAAAUCUCUACGUGCAUUUUGGAUGAUUGUUUAUUAUAUUGUGAAUAUCUUCUGUCAUAAAUAUAAGGUAUUGCAAUUGUGGCACGUGACAGAAAUAUUUAUUUUUCUUUUGCAAAAUGCAUAUCUGAAAUUUAUGCUCAAGGAAAUCUCUUUGAUCUUGAAAGAUAUUACUGCAUAUUUAUGGAUAUUCUUGCUAUAUUCUUAGAAGAUAUAUUAUAUCUAGCAAGUUUGAUCCGCAAAUCAAAGGAAGAUAUUACGUGACAUUUUUUUGCAAAGAUUAUUAUCUGUUAUAUAAGAAUUUGCAGGUCACAAUAGAAUCUUCCAUAUGAAUUUUGGAAAGCUUGAUCAGAAAUUUGUGAAGAUUUUAUACUAUCUUCUGGAGGUUCAAAGAUUCCAUUCCUUGUGCAAAAUUUUUGCUUAUUGAGGAAAUCCCUUAUGCAUCGUACAAAAUGUUGAAUAGUUCUGAAUUUUAAUAUUUGAUAAUUUUAUAUAUGCUAUUCAAUUUAUUUAUUCGAAGAAAAGGAUAUUAUAUAUCACGUGGAUAUUAUUACAGCUUAUUUGUGCAAAAAGUUUGUUAAGUUUAUGCAGGUUCAAUUCGAGAUGAGCUUGGUUAAAGAAAAUAAAAUUUUUGCCUCGAAUUUCAAAAUGCAAGUGAUCGUUGCAGAUGUUGUUGCUACAAAGGAAAUACUGGAAAAAUAUUCUGUUCAAUGUGCACAACAACAAUUGUUUCUAUUCGCAAAUAUUUUCAUGAUCACAGGGGGAGAACGUGAAUCCAAAAGAAAAGGAAAAGAAUCGUGAUCAUCUCAAAAAGGGCAACAAAUUGAGGGGGAGCUUUGAUCAAUUAUGGAAAAAUCUUUUUGGAUUGAUCGUGAUCUUAUUAUGGAUUGAAGGAAAGGUAAAUGUGUCAGAAUUUGUUCAAAAAAAAAUCAUGUUAGCGCAUCUUUUAUUACCUUUUGUCAUUGACAAAUCUCUUAUUGAUAUUAUCAUUUUAUUAUGACAAAAAGGGUACGUGAAUUUCAUGAUGCAUCCGUGAUUUUUAUUGGAUAUUUGCUGAUAUAUAUGAUCGAAGUGAGCUAUAUUGCAUAAUAUUCGACUUGUUUUAUAAAAGCUGAUCUUUUUGGAAAUUAUAUGUCAUUUUAUAUUCUCUAUGUGAAUCUAUUGUUAUCGCUUUUUGAUUAUGACAAAAAGGGGGAGAAUAUAUGAAUAUGCAUAUAUGUGUUAAUUAGUUGAUAUUAUCUAUGGCAUAAUAUUGAGCUGCGAUUAUUUUUCUAUAUAUUGUUAUGCUCAAUCUAUUUGCUAUAUUCUGAUAUCCUUUGAUUUAAAUUAAUAUUUUUAAAAGCGUGUUUACAAAUCUGCAUAUUUAGAGAUUGUUUUGUCAUCAUCAAAAAUGGGGAGAUUGUUAGGGAAAUCCCUUAUGAUGUUUUGAAGAUGACAAAAUAAAUCAAAGGCUACUAACAUGUUUAAUGGUUAAGUAAUAGACCAUGCAGAUGUUAGAACAUGUAGAGGAUAUUAUCAAAGUCAGAAGACGGCUAAAAGACUUAACGUAACAUAUGUCCAAAGUAUAUUCUGAAGAUUUCCAGACUUCUGUGUCAAAGUUUGAAGAUUGCCAGACUCAAGACUCAAAGUCUGAAGACUGCCAUACUUUAGUGUCAAAGUCUGUUCUACAUCAGAAGUCUGAUCAUUCUGACAAAUUCCAGACUGAACGUGAAUAAUGAACCAGAAGACAGACUCUAUGCUGAAGCUGAACUGGGUACAGACCUUAAAGCUAAAUCUGUUCAGAAACAGAUAUGUUCAGACCCAGAUUGUAAAGUCUAUUGCUAUCAGACUUUACAUCCAGAUUCAACAGAACGUAACUCAAGCCCAAUCAUAUAACGGCUAGUGAUCUGGUUUGGAUUCCACAUCAAGAUUGAUUUGAUUGAUUCAAUCUAAUUGAUUGACAAUUGGAUGUUGAAGACAAGAUCUUUCUAUACGAAGAAGCUUUACUUAUGGAAACCAAGAUUCCGUUUGUAUGGGCGAUCGGAAUCAAUUUGGGAUUCUACCUUUGUCACUCAACGGCUACCAAAUCUUCUAAAUACAGAGCUGUCCAAUGGGUAUAUUGGAAGACGAUUCUCCGGGAUACUGUCCAACGGGUAGUUUGGAAGUGGAGGAGUAUUUAAGGAGAUCAUGGACCGAUGAGCAAAAAAGAGACGGAGCGUAGAAUUUAUAAUUCCAAAGUCUGAGCGACUUUCGAUCAUAUACUUAUCUCUUGAGAGCUUAAACGUUUGUAAUCGUGAGAGAAAUACCAAAAGAGUGACUUAGUGAGAUAGUGUGAUCUACUACUAAGUGUUUGCACUCGAAGUUGUAAUCUCUUGUUGAUUGCAUAGUGGAAUCCAGCCAAGAAGGCUGUUAGCGUGGGAGAGUGGACGUAGGCUUGGAUUAAGCCGAACCACUAUAAAUCUUGUGUUCUUAUUCUCUUCCCUAACUCCUUUAUUUUGUUCAUACUAGCACUCUCAGAAGUCUCAUCGCCAAACCUGCGAGAUUAUGCUGAUCUACCAUCGUCUGCAUUUACUCCAUCAGAUCGGGCCGAAGCAAGUACUCAGACUGAUAAUACAGCAGAUUUUCGCAGAAUCAUGGAUAUUCUCUUGGAGAUGCGAGGUCAAAUUUAUGCCUUGGGAUGUGAGGUUCAAAACUUGCAGAAUGCGGGUCAAGUUUCUUCAUGUUCAUUGAAUGAUAAGAUCCAAGCCCUCUCUGUUCAGAUUCAGGCCAAUGCCAAGGGUGAGGAGAUUGCACAACUGAAGGAAGACUUGAAAAGGCUGGAAGGCAUCGUUCAGUCUAUGGAAGAUUUCCAGCUUGUCCGCGUUCCCAAGCAAUCUUGACUUCAUCUCAUCCUUUUUUAAUGCUGACAAAAAGGGGGAGAGAUGCAAGAUUUGAACAAACUUUCAAUCAUUAAACUUUUAAUCGUGUGGUUUGUUGGACUGUUUGUUGGAUUGUUUUGUUGUUUGAACUUUGUUUGACUUUGUGUCUGGAUGAGAACUGAACUAGACUUGGACUUGACUGCUUCUAUUAACUAGUAUUGAUAUCUUAUGGAUGGCUUUAUCAUAUACGAGACUAACCUAUUUUUUGUGGUUGCAGAUUCUAGUGUUAUUCAUUUAGCCAUUUAUCUCUAUAAGAUAUGCAUAUGUGGUUGAGAAAUGUUUUGUAGGUCAAAGUUAUCCAAAUCUGCAGGAAAGUUUUGUCACCAUCAAAAAUGGGGAGAUUGUUGGAGAAAUCUUCUUGAAGUGUUUUGAAGCUGACAAAACAUUUCCAUCAGUCUAGUCUGAAGGCUUGCAGACUCUGCUAUUUAAAGUCUCAAGACCUCCGGACAGUCAGACUCAAGACUCAAAGUCCAUCCUCAUUGACAGUCUCUAAUCCGUUGAAGAAAGGUUAUCCAGAACUGGAUGUUUCGUUAAGGAUUUAACCUUAUCAACUGGAGAAGAUCUCGUGGCUGGAAAAGACAUAAUGGAGUCCUUUGAUUGAUCGAAGAUUGACUCGAUAAUUGAAGAUCCGGUAAUUGCCUAAAUAUUAUUGGAAUGUUCUAUUUAUGGAAACCGAGAUCCUGAUUGUAUGGGUGAACAUGAUUGAUGGGCUAUCGACACGUUCCUUUAAUAGCUCGGAUAAUCUUCCUAAUUGAUUCCGUCCAAUGGGUAGAUUGGAGGAGUUCUUUUGGUAAGUGCCAACGGGUAUGAUGGCAUAAAAGAGUAUAUAAGGAAGACGUUCUAAGUUGUUGAGGUGUGCGCGAUAGAAGAAUUCCAAAGUCUGAAGCUCCUUUUUUGUUUAGACAAUUCAUUUGAGCGAAUACUUGUAUACAAAAAAGAGUCUAUAUUUGUGAGAAAUCUUGAGGAGGUGUGGUAGAACAUCUACACUGUGGAAUCAAGGCAAAGCUGUGCUGUAACUUCUCUUUUGUUCAUAGUGGAAUCUAGCCAAUAGGCUGCCAGUGCAGAAGAGUGGACGUAGGCUUGACAUAAGCCGAACCACUAUAAACCGCGUAUUCAAUUUUCUCUUCUCUCAGUCUUACUUUGAUUAUCGUUUGUCUCAAAUCCAUCAACUGUCUAGUAUUGUGCAAUUAUUGAGAAAAAAUCUUUUAUAUACCUAUUCACCCCCCUCUAGGUACUUAUACUAGCUAUAUCAAUAAUAUGUAUUGGAACGUCAGUAAAUCUUUCUCCAAUAGCCAAAUGGUGAUGGAUAUGUUGGAUUUUUUGAUUGUUCUGAAGUAUUCGAUGUCAUUACUAUAUAAUACCUCUGAAGAAGUUAUGGCAGUCUUUGAAACCCUUAUUUUAUAACGAUUUUCAAUUUGAUGCAAUAAUCAAUGAAGGAAAAUUGGUUUUUUCUUUCAUUUACCUGCAAAUAGAACACCUGAGCUACAACUAAAAAUAUAUAGGAAAAUUAUCAAAAAAGUCAUGAACUUUAUUGUACCAAUACCAAUUCAAUCAUAAAUAUUUUAAUUUGGUCGAAAAUCACCGCCGCAGACUUCUGUAGUAUUACAUAGGAUAGUUGGUGUUGACGCGAAUAAUUUUUGCAUUUUUUAAAAAAAUUUCUUGAAUUUUUUUUUGAAUUUUUUUGUUUUUCUUUAUUUUUUUUAAUUGUGGUCGGCGAGGGUUAGGACCCUCGCUGGCUGCCUUACCCAGAUGUGGAGAGAGCCACAAUGACAAAAAAAAUUUUAAAUUUUAAAUUUUUUUAAAUUGCAAAAUUUGCUUACAUCAGCGUUGACCGUGCUACAUAAUACAGCCAAUGUUCACAUUAGCUAUUUAAGGCCAAAAUUGGCCAAGAAGGAUUAUAUUGGCAAAUUCUGUUUAGGAUUGAAUAUUACAAAUUUAUGAUUUUUUUUAGUAAAUUGCCCCCAAAAUACACACUACUCAUCAACAAAAAUUCUCUAUUUUCCCUUCCAUUUCCUAGAUUUUAUAUAAAUUUUUAUUGCUCCUGUUCUCUCUGUUAUUUAGUGUAGAUCAAAGAGCGAGACCCAUUGCACCAAGUUUUAUAUUUCAAAGGGCGAAAUUAUUCUCAAAGACGGUACUUGCACACUUUAGUCAGUUGAUCCUAUCUUCAUGUUUUCCGGCACAUUCCUAACAGGCUAUUCCUUCACAAAUUAUAUGGCAUCUAUCAUCUGAAAGACAUGUUAAGAUUCAGGCCAGCUAGAACUUCCCAUUCAAGGGUGUUAUGCUAAUAUACUUUUUUUUUUUUUAGCCAUGAUGUGGUAAGAACGCUGGAGAUGAUGUAGAAAUGAAGACUGGGCUAAGAGUUCGAUCAGCGCAGCAGAGUCCCGUCUAUAGGUUUGGGCUCGUGAAGAACCCAAAUUUGAUCUUUGAUGCUCUUUUCUGAUCGUCAAUAGAGCUCAGCCUGUGUCUUCCAUCCAACCCAAGAUCUCUUGGAUCGCGGUCUUGAUGCCCACCGUCCUUAGGCCGAUUCCUUUAUCCUAAGCAGAGAUGUUAUUUGGAAUUGAGAAAUGAGAUGUCGAUGGGGCUGCCGCUUUUUAGGAUGGUGACUGUCCUCUUGCACCUGUCAUUUUUCAAGGGAAAUUGGUUGAAUCACUUGAACGGUUUCGUUUCCUAUUUACUUAUUUUUCUUUGCCACGGUUGCUUCUUAUCGCAAUAUUCUCAACUAUAUAAAUAUAUAUAUGCCUACAAUCAUAAUUGGCAACAUCUUGAUCAAAUAAUAUGCAAUGUAUACAUGUAUAAAGAUAAUUAUAGAUUUUUUUUAUUAUUGAAAUAAAAAGCAUAUGACUCUUUUUAGAAUAAUGACAUAACAAUAUGUAAAUUUUUGGUUAGAGUGCAACUCGGUAACUAAGCUUCUUCUUAAUCAUUUAAGACAAAUGGGAUUACCGCCACGAUGGUUGCCUGUCUGCGGCAACCAUCCCAUUGGGCUAACUAUGGUGAUGGCCGUAGCUCGCACUAAUUUUUUUUCUUUUUUAAAUUUCUUUCUCUAUUUUCUUUUGGUCUAAGGAGCUCGCUGUAGUUAGCCACCACAAUUCCCUCUCUUAGUUUCAUUUUAUUUUUGAUGCUACGAAGUAAUUUUUUUAUUUUUUUUAUUUUUAUUUUUUUGCAUGGAUUAUAUCCGACAUCAUUUUUUUGGGAAAACUUAUUUUGUCAUGUCCUAGUCAUUGUCUUAUGACAAAAUACAGUAGAAAAAAUUACUGUUUCACAUCUUUCCCGAUUAAAUGUCUGGAGAUACUUUGUAGGCUUUCUUGAAUAGAGUAUUUGCUAAAUUUACUUUUCUACUUUCUUUUUUAUUGAUUUGCGGGUUGCAAGUUAUUUGCCAAACAGAAUUUGUAGUCCAAGAUCCAUCAUCAUUUCUAAGAAUGACCUUAUUGUUACCAUAGUCAUGCUCAUUGUUCCUUAACUUUUUUAGUCUUACUUUUCUCUUUUAUGUACAUGUAUAUGCUGUACUCACAGGGAUCGAACUCUGGACUUGGUACUCUUAGGUUCCACACCAACCCAGCCAGGCUGCAAGCCUCUUGGCACGCUCUUUGUUCUUCGAGAGCUUAAUCAUUGAGAGAUGUACUUUGGGUAAUCUUAGAUGAUUUCGUCAUAAAUUAGUUGCAAGUGAUGACUCAAUUCAUCCUAUUGGCGCCUAUAUGGGAAACGAAUUUGGCUUAAUUUGAACACAUGAUGACAUGGACCGGGUAGUCUAAAGAUUACGUAGAUCAAAUUCAUCCGGAUUGAUUAUUGAGCGGACCUCGCGGAGAGAAUUAUGUAAUCAAUGAUGCCGAUCAUAUUGAUCCACAACGAGAAUUUAACCCUCCAAAUUUGACUUUGACCAGUUAGAGGCCGCCCUCUGAAUCUUCUUAAUUAUAGACUACGUUGACGUAAUUCAUUUUGACCGAACAGCCUUUGGACUUUGAUCUCCACCGUGUAUUGUGACACGACAGCAGAGUGGACGGCUGAGGAGUCGCGGAUGACAGCUUAGGAGAGAGGAGUGAUCUUGGCAAGGGCGAGAGCAGAAUAGAGUAUACGCGCUCACGUAAUUCCCAUGGUUAUCAAUCACUGGACUACGAUCACACCGUCUAUUUCGACACGUGUGCCGAAUGGACGGCUUCAAAGGCAUCGGAUGACAACGGCAUGCAGAAGAAUUUUCUUGGCUGAAGAGAGAGUAAAAUAUCAUGAACAUCCUUCAUCGAUAAGCAACCCUUGCAUAUAAAGAUGUCCUAACACAUUAAUUUAUGUCCAAGAUUGCAGCAACUUCUGGAGAUAUAUCCAUUCCGAUCAUCACACAAGAAAAUGGUGAGUUAUUUAUGGCUGUCUUUCUUUUUCCAUCUCAAUUUACUCAGAAAAGCAAUUCAAAUCAAAACAUGCUUAACACUCUCGGGUUUUCAUAUACUUCAUCUCUCGAGACACGAUUUUGUUUUACGCCAUAUUUGUGUAUGGAGUUUUCAUUGUACUGAUUUGGCUUCUGUUCAAUUGGCAUGCGUCAGUCUACCGCGUUCAAGUUCGAGGUACGCAAGCCUUGUUCCUCAGUUCUUCUCCUUUACAUUUCCCUUUCUGCAUUUGCUGAUUUGUUUAACUUUAUUACAUUACAUGAGAAUAUUCAUCGACAUUAAGUAUAAGCACUUCACCGUUUGAGAAACUACUUAAUGUCACUUUUGCACCAGAAUGAGAUCGUUCAAAGAUCGGAGCGAGCUAAAUCUGUUGAGUUCCAUCCAACACAACCAUGGUAAUGAGAUUUUGCUUAUGCUUCUUUUGUCGAUAUCUUUCAUUGCUCUAGUAUGGUUCCAAAUGAAGCUCAAUCAUAUGUCUAAUGUCCAUGUUCACUUAACCAAGCUUAAUUAUUAGUGUCUUACCAGAAUGAUGCUUGAUGUCAUGCAGGAUUCUUGUAAGCUUGCAUUCAGGAACCGUCUACAUUUGGAACUACCAAUCCCAGGUAAACAAUAGCCUUCUCUGCUUUCGCAGUUCACGGUACAAAGAAAUCUCCAAUGUAUUCAUCGUUACUGAAUGUGUCAAUCACAAGAAGUAAUUAUCUUGAUCUUAUGUUACUAAUUGACAUCGACAUCGUUUGGUGUUUCAGACUACUGAGAAAACAUUCAAGGUGGCCGAGUCCCCAGGUAAAUAUCAGAACACACCUGAUUAAAUUGAUAUGUAGUCAAAUUUCUUUGAAAUUUCGUGAUGCCAAACCAGAGAAUUAUCCAUCCUAAUCUACAAUGCUGAUGAUAUUUGCAGUGAGGUCUGCCAAAUUUAUCCCGAGCAAGGGCUGGGUAAUUGUUGGAUCGGACGAUGCCUUUAUAUCAGAUGCUUGUGCGUCCACCCUACACUUCCCUACGUGCUAUCAGCAUCGGACGACUCUGUUAUAAAGCUCUGGAACUCCCUACACUUCCCUACGUGCUAUCAGCAUCGGACGACUCUGUUAUAAAGCUCUGGGACUGGGAGAAGGACUGGACGUGUUCUCAAUGCUUUUGCAAGUGCAUCACUCGAUGGAACUAUAAAGGUACUCUCUUCGUGGGUCUCGCUCUUCACAGAAAACAUAUUUCCAUUUCCAAACAUGCUAUUUAUGCUCCUGCUACGAUUCCCAUCUGUUGCAGAUUUGGAAUGUUCACUCUUCUGCACCUAAGGUUACUUUGGAUGGGCACGAGAAGGGGCUGAACUUUGUUGAUUACUUCUCUAGGGAUGAUGUGCUCUAUUUACUUAGUGGCUCUGAUGAUUACACUGCUAAGGUUCGCAAACUUUAUCGUUCUUAAUUUAAUAUGUCGGUGCAUUAUUAGAAAGAGAUCAAUUGAUAUAUGAUUUAUUAAAUAACAAGGACAGGUUUGGGAUGAUAAAGGAAGAAGCUGUAUACAAACGCUCGAGGGACAUGAGCACAAUGUUACCGCUGUGUGCGCGCAUCCUGAGCUGCCCAUAGUAAUUACCGGUUCAGAGGACGAGACUCUUCGUAUGUGGGAUGCAAAUGGCUUCGGGUAUGCAUUGUGGGAGUUUAUAUGGUUGUAGCAUGCUCUAGAAUGCUGCUUCAAUUACAGCGGAGUUGAAUGAAAAUACCACCUUCCAUUUUCCAGAUUUUCCAAAAUUUACAGUAGGAUAGGACCAUUUAUUUACCUGGACUCUAUGUUGUUUUGCGAAUGACUCCACCAUUAUGUCACAUACAGG